CCGGCCCCUCUCGCCCAUUGUCCCUUUGUUCACACUUCUUCACAUUCCUUCCUAUUGUUCGCAAGCCAGCAUCCCGGUCCUUCGCCAUUUUUCUUAACAAAAGACUUUGCAUCCAGUCACAGUAAAACAGGUAGGCCCACUGCAGCAAUUUUAGUUCAACAGUGAGAAGCAGUAUAACUUUAUUUAUACAGAAUCUGGAAAUUUCGUAUUUUUUUGUUGGAAACUUCAUAAGUCAUUCAUUAAAUAAAAGGUAGUUUAUUUGAGCUUCCUAUGGGAGAAUAAGAUGUAAGAUGUGUAAAUAGUAGUGUGGAGACCUCAGAGCAACACUUAAUUUCAUGACCAACAGCGGUAAGGUGGUACUAUUCGUAAGCCUUACUUAUAGAUCAACACUACUCCUAUUAUCAUAUAGAGGACAGAGUAGUCAAAUGGUUGAGGACGCUAUUGCUAAACAUAAAACCAAGUCUCCAGGUGUUGUGUAUAUCAAUCAGCCCACUGUAUCAAUCUUUUAAUAAAUUAUAAGGUCCCCACUGCUUGAUACUUCACCAAAUACUGGCUACACCAGAAGAUGACUAAAUGUUCUUAACACUUAAUAACUACCACAAGCAUCACUUCUGGGCCACUGAAGGGUCCAAUCGUUCAAUUUCGGAAAUGAUAAAGUUGAUGAAAUUGCUCAAAAGUUGUCUGGCACCUUCUUAACUCAGAGACAUAGGAAUGUGGAUGGAUUAUGACAUACCUUGCACAAAUCAACAACCAGGCUUAUAUUGGAUUUGAAACCCAAAGGAAAGAGAAAGUUUGUUAUCCAAAACAAACAUGGAAAAUAUCAGAGACCAACAAAGCACAAGCAGGCAGAAUGUCAUGGACCCAACUUUAGGGAAUCUCCCAAAACCAAGUAUAAAAAGAGAGAGGUGUGGUUGUGUCUCUCAGCUCCACAAGGGUCAACAAGAAUGAGGACAACAUUGAUUUUCGUAAUACUUUUAGAUCAGAUUUUCAAUUUUUUUUGGAUCAGUUGGAUCAGGUUAACAGUUUGAUACAUAUUGCAUUUAAAUACUUAACAAAAAGAAAAGAUUCUCUUACCAAAAUAGUCUAAGAAAAAUGCUGAUUUGUAAAUUAAUAAAUUGUUUCCUUUUGUAAUAAUAUAAUAAUUUAAGUUUGCAUUGUAUGUAUGUUUAGUGUAGAUUUAAUGCCCUAAAUGAAAUGCAAUCUACAAUUUACAUUUUUUUCUUUAAAGAAUUAGUUGCAAAUUUCUUUCAUUAUUUUGUUUCACUGUACAAUCUGAAAAAAGUUUGCAACAUUUGUAUUGACAAUACUUCUGCUGGUGAUAUUUAUUUCUAAUUAAUGAAGUAAAUUAAUAUAUAUUUAGUUUACUAUAAUUAAAUACCUCACACUCGAGGCAAAAAAACAUAUUUAUUGAAUAUCGCAGUGAUAUUCCUGUUCUACAUAAUGCAUAUAAACCCUCGAACCAUCGGUCUUUUGAAAGAUUGUACAUUUUGUAUACACAAUGUCAUUCAUUUUAACACUAUUUAACCACAACUAUAAUCUAGAGAUCCUGAACAUAUUUUCGUUCUGUUAUUUAUGGACAAGGCAGACUGGU